GAUGUGUGCAGGUUGAACCAAAGUUAGAGGCGGCCUAACGCAACAGCGUGGAAGGGAGGGGGGAGGAAAGGAGGACCUCACAGAUGUAA